rnacentral:rRNA from 1 species
UAAGGAAUAUUGGUCAAUGGACGCAAGUCUGAACCAGCCAUGCCGCGUGGAGGAUGAAGGUCCUCUGGAUUGUAAACUUCUUUUAUCUGGGACGAAACACUUCUUCUCUAAGAGGCCUGACGGUACCAGAUGAAUAAGCACCGGCUAACUCCGUGCCAGCAGCCGCGGUAAUACGGAGGGUGCAAGCGUUAUCCGGAUUCACUGGGUUUAAAGGGUGCGUAGGUGGGUAUGUAAGUCAGUGGUGAAAUCCCCGAGCUUAACUUGGGAACUGCCAUUGAUACUAUAUAUCUUGAAUACCGUAGAGGUAAGCGGAAUAUGUCAUGUAGCGGUGAAAUGCUUAGAUAUGACAUGGAACACCAAUUGCGAAGGCAGCUUACUAUGCGGUGAUUGACACUGAGGCACGAAAGCGUGGGUAGCAAAC